UGAGGGGAGACGCAGGGCUGAGCGGGACACGGGGCUGAGGGAGGGAUAUGGCACUGAUGGGAGCCCAGGGCUGAGGGGAGACAGGGCCGAGCCCAGGGCCAAGGGGGAGCUGGGGGCCGGGCAGCCCCCAGAGCUACGGGGCACAGGCCAAGGCUGACCUUUCUCAGCACUUCCCCAGAGCGAGGGGUGUCAAGCAGGGUGCACAACACCUUCCCACGUUUUAAAUGCGAGUCUUGUUUCUGGAGAGGUUCAGGCUCCUCACUGCUGCAUCAGGGCUUCCUUCCCACUGAAACCUAACGGGGGGAGCCUGAGCGCAGCUGGAGAGCCCCUGCACCGCUGCCCUGGGCACUGGGUCACCUGUGCCCUGCGAGCCUGCCCUGGAGGGGGACAGUGGUGACAGCAAGGUAUCUUACUGACAGACUCAUGAAUCCCAGCAUAGCCACACACACACACAUAUGCGUGGGCGUGUAUAUAUAGUAUGUGUAUAUAUAUAUAUAUGUGAUGUGUGUACAGCCUCAGAAAUGAAUAGUUACAGACAUUAAAUACCCAGCAACUUAAAUACCACCAAUCUUAACAAAUCCAUUCUCCCUCGCUCCGCUCGAGUGGGUUCUUGGCUCCACAGGGUGAAGCGCGGUGUUCAGGAACACAAGCAGCAGCAAACGUGGCACAGCUUACACACAGAUACCGCGGAAUGUAAAUCCCGAUUUUACCCGGCUGUCCCAAAGGCGGCCUGUCCCAGGCGGGUAGCGCUGCGUACCACCACGGCAGUGUGAGCCGCACUCGCGUGGCUCCGUCAGAUACGGCUGAGCUCGAGCAGCUGCUUGUUCUGCACUUGCCAGGGCAGAGUUGUGAUCUCUGGAAGGGAAAACAAGCAUGUACAUUAUUAGAAACAGUGACUUAAAUGUGUGUAUUAAGUCAAACACAAAAAAAGAGGACUACUGAUGCUUUUUCUUUUUUUAAAUUUAUGAAAGCAUUGGUGGUUUUUUUUCUUAAUAAAGACGGUUUCAUUAAGAGCUCCUCCUGCAUGACAGCUAUUGAAACAAACACAUCCACAGUGGCUGUUAUUUUCAUUAGAUCCUCAAAAAAAGGACAUUUGUAUAGGUAUGAGAUAGUUAGCCAGCUUGCAAAUUGGACUAGGACAUUAGAGAGACCAUUUCAAGUCUUGAGGAAUAAAUGUCAAGGAAUUCUUUCAAUAUCCUUUAAUAUAUUUAUUCAAAAAUAACAACCUCAAAAGAUCCUAUUUUAAUGUACCUCAGGACAGGAAAGCAAACUGAUGAAGCAGUCUGCACAGUAACAGAAACGGUGCAACAGGAAAAUAUUAAACCUAUAAAUCUGAGUUAGCAGUACAUUAACCAGUGACUCAUUGCCGGCGAUGAUUUGUGGGGAUCUGUCGCACUUUACCGUAUGAUUUCUGAGUAUUCGAUGCCCAUUAGUUCAAGCCCACAACAAAUUGUGGUUUCUCUUCACUGUUUUUCCCUCCUCCCCGUGCACUCGCCCUAUUCCUUUUCUUCCACAGGUCUGGCUGUGCUCCAGCAGGCACAGGGCACUCGGCAACACACCCUGCAAGCCAGGCGUUGGUGGCAUCUCCAGGAGGUAUCUGAAGGCAGAGGUGCCGAUGAACCUGGUGCUGGUGCACGCUGAUGGCACCUCACGGCAGCAGCGCGAGCUACGGCAGAUGCUGCUUGCCUGCUGACAUCUUCACCCAACCUCACUCAGAUUUUACCACCUGACAUGAGACAUUUCAGCCGAGUGAAUGGGAAAUCAAUGCAAAACCAAAAGGAGCUUGGUCUAGGGCUGCUAAACUGUAGGGUGGGCCCCUGUGGGAGCCACUUCCAGCCCUCCACCAUGCCCACCCCUCUCUCAGGGGAAAGAGAACCCACACAAGCCAUUAACAGUAAUUUCUCCAUGGACCUCCUGCCGGCUGAUGCUUAGUCUUUGUGCCGCUGUGAGCUGACUCAGCACCUUCCAACCAAUGUGUACAGAAGGGUGGGAGAAGCUGGCAAAUGCCCCAAAAGUGGGAAUGGCCAUCCAUCCUGGAGCUUCCCGCUCUUGCUCAAACCUCAUUGCUACAAAUCAGCCAUCUGCUCACGCCAGGCCAGGAGCUGGUACUGCAGUACCCAAACAUGCCAAGUCUUGUGGCCCCACAAACUUCCCCUUGACCCUCACUGGGAGGGCUGCUCUUCAUGGCAAAGCCACCAGUACAAGGAGCCUCCCAAAAAGUGCAGCCCAUGGGAAAACGUGGCUGCUCCUGGCCGACCCCAUGGGAAGGGACUUCUGUUUCAAGAGCUUUCCACAGGUCAGUAGAAUCCUGCGCAGCAGUGAUGCCGCGGAGAGCAGCACGGCUCCGGUAACACAUACCUUACAGUGUCUGCAAAUAUGCUUUUGCACGGUGCUUUACAGUGAGCUUCUGACAACCUUUGCGACAGCGCUCAGAGGGACAUCUCUUCCCAAGUAUCCGUUUUAACAGUAACAGCAGAUGACCAGGACACCUGAGGGGUGGAAAGCAAGCCGGUGGAAAAGAAAAAGGAUUAAGCCAUGAAAGAUUUAAAGUCCAGAACAGCCAACUGGAACAAACCAUCAAGCCUGGUCCUACCCAACUCACCUUAUCGUCAGCGCACACCUAAGGGCCCGAGUCUGCUACACGCAGCAUCGUAAGCCACCACGUACAAAGAGGCUGUUAACCUUAUGCUCACAAGCUCCCCCACUCCUCCAUAUGACACUGACAACAAAAGUGCCUUAACUCUUUUUGUGAUCAAGUGCUUUCUGCGCAGUAAGUAAAACAGAUACAGCACAGCAAACCUGCCUCCUCAGCUACGGCUGUGUUACAAAUACGCAUGCGGUUUGGCAGCGUAAUCUUUUACUCCGAUAAACUAUUAAAUGCCAAAGAAAGCUUCUUAAGUUAAUCAGGGCUUGAUUUAAAUAAACAAGCCACCAAAAGAUUAACAAAAAUCCUUAAUGGAAUCUGAAUGCAAACCCAGUCUGCUCACAAGUUCAUAACAGCAAUUGGAACCGGCCCACUGACCCCCUUUUUCUCCCCUUACUGGCACCACCAGUGAAAAAGAAUUUUCUGGAACACCCAACACAACCAUUUCCAGCUCCAUUGACGCCAGCAGCAGUUUUGGCAACUUCGUCACAAGCACAUGUGCUAAUACUGCACGUCAGGGGGAGGAGGAAGAGGAGGAGGAGGCAGGAUGACUUCAUUCUCGUGACAGAGGGGAGUCAGCUGAACCCUCCAGGAAGAAACUCGGAGCUGCUUGCGCCGAAGCCCCGCGUUACUGACCGCUUUCACAGCCACAGCAGGAAUUGCCCCCCUGGGAAGCGCUUGGGCAGAGCACAGCAGUCCUGAGGGCAGCUUCGCUGCAACAAGCCACCACUCCGAUGAGCAGGACUCCUCGGUGUAGGUACGUUAUAUGUAUGCAUCAACGCUCACACGUUCAGUACCUAAACAUGUAAGGACAGUAAUUUAAAACUCCUGUCUUAGGUACAAUACUUAAUUUUAUCCCACAAAGGUAAUAAAUGACCAAACAUUGGUGAACAAAAUGUGCCAGGCUGGAGCCCAUACAAAGUAUCUGUGGGCUGACAUGCUAUAUAUAUCUCAGGUCCUUCAUUAGACAGUUGUUAUUUAAUUCUGCUGCUCUACAGACUCUUUCU